UGAAUCAAUGGGUGAGCAUCCUGGAAACCAGAUUUGGGUGAAGACUAGUCCCAUUCAAUUGUGCCAAUACUUGUACUGCCUUUCUAAUGUGUUCACCAUGCAAAAUAGGAGGAAUAACAGAGGAAUGGCACAACACAGAGUUCUAAGAGAUGGUACUGCAGAAUUGUCAUUUCAUGGGGAUACACGUAUUUACUAACUAAAAAAAAAAAGGUUAAUAUACCCAGGCAAACACAAAUCGAUCUUGGAGUUGUGCCUGCUGAAUGCAGUUUUAAUAAGGAUUUCAGGCGAAGUUCUAAGAAGAAACAUUUGUUAGUCUAAUCAGUUUGCCGGUAACUGUAUUUACGAAUCAAUAACUAAUCUAUAAGAUUCAUGG